rfam:Tribolium castaneum strain Georgia GA2 unplaced genomic scaffold scaffold_seqid2148, whole genome shotgun sequence.
CCUUCCUUUUUGGCAUGCCUUUGCUUGGAAAAAGACGGCAAUGCAUGAAUGCUGAAGGAAGGGAGAUUAAUUCUUGGGAAAUAUGCCUUCGGUGUCCACACAAAUUCUGUCUGGAUCCCAUCCUCAAGUUUCCCAACACUU